rnacentral:rRNA from 1 species
AGUGAACGCUGGCGGCAGGCCUAAUACAUGCAAGUCGAACGGCAGCACAGCAGAGCUUGCUCUGUGGGUGGCGAGUGGCGGACGGGUGAGGGAAUACAUGGGAAUCUGCCCAGUCGUGGGGGAUAACGUAUGGAAACGUACGCUAAUACCGCAUGCGCCCUAAGGGGGAAAGCCGGGGACCGCAAGGCCUGGCGCGAUUGGAUGAGCCCAUGUUCGAUUAGCUAGUUGGCGGGUAAAGGCCCACCAAGGCGACGAUCGAUAGCUGGUCUGAGAGGAUGAUCAGCCACACUGGAACUGAGACACGGCCCAGACUCCUACGGGAGGCAGCAGUGGGGAAUCUUGGACAAUGGGCGCAAGCCUGAUCCAGCCAUGCCGCGUGAGUGAAGAAGGUCUUCGGAUUGUAAAGCUCUUUUGCCAGGGACGAUAAUGACGGUACCUGGAGAAUAAGCCCUGGC